rnacentral:lncRNA from 1 species
CAAACCUGGACCCCUAAAUGUACCUGAAACAUUGAAUCUAACAGCUACAACGACAGAGAGACACAGUGUUGCAAGGUGCUGACAAUCAAUUUGGAUGAGUCCAAGCCUCUCCAGCAUUUGUCCGGUUCGAAUCGUGUGAUAUAUGGCUGACGCAUGCCAGCUACCGAAAUGCGAGGAGGUUGCUUCUCAAACUGAUGCCACUGCAGGCUGUGGACACGCGGCUACCUUGUAGAAGAGUUGUAGCUCACCUCAGGAGCAAAGAGUGGCGUCGAGGAAAACAGCUGCAUCCUCCACUGCUUCCGACGUCUUCCAACACGUGAAGACAAAAAAGAUCCUCACAUCUCCCCAACCAACUGCCCAUGACUGUACCUGAACUGUGACGGUAACUUAUCCAGCAUUAUGGUGCUGGUGCAUUGGUUAAAAAUAAAGUUGGCUUUGACUAUUGCUGUUUCA